rnacentral:rRNA from 1 species
AUUGAACGCUGGCGGCAGGCCUAACACAUGCAAGUCGAGCGGAGCGGCGGACGGGCGAGUAAUGCCUAGGAAUCUGCCUGGUAGUGGGGGAUAACGUCCGGAAACGGGCGCUAAUACCGCAUACUAUCAGAUGAGCCUAGGUCGGAUUAGCUAGUUGGUGGGGUAAAGGCCUACCAAGGCGACGAGCCGUAACUGGUCUGGGAGGAUGAUCAGGUACACUGGAACUUGGGCACGGGCCAGACUCCUACGGGAGGAAGCCAGGGGGAAGUGUGGGCCAUGGUAGAAAGGCUGAUCCCGCCAUGCCGCGAGGUGGAAGAAGGUCUUCCGGUUUUAAAGCACUUUAAGUUGGGAGGCGUUACCAACAGAAUAAGCACCGGCUAACUUCGUGCCAGCAGCCGCGGUAAUAC